rnacentral:lncRNA from 1 species
GUGCUUCCUCCCCGAGCCCUACAAGGCGCUUCCUUCCAGCCCCAGGCCCAUACAAGGCGUUUCCUUCCCGGCGCGUCUGGCUGGCGGCCCGCGGGCGGCCGCGGGCUAGGAGCCCAGCCCUCGGGGGCCGUCCGCGCCCGGGAGCCCGAGGCCAAGGGACCCAGCCAAGGAGGGGGCGGCCGGCCGGAGGGUCCGGAACGCGCGGCCUCGCCCCGUCGCCGUCCGGGCCCAGCUGAGGAAAACGCUGGACAGGCCGACUUGGGAGUCCCUUGGGAGGCGCCUUCCUCCACCCCGCUAAGGUCAGAGGCUCCCACUGUCCUCUAUCGUUUUCCUGUUUGUCCCCACCCCUGAACGCAGCACAUCCUUGUUGGAGAUCCUUAAGCGGCCAGAAGCCCAAGACCUGAAGCCCACACUCCAAGCGUGGUGUCACAGCCUGCUGGCCCUCGAUUUACCCUCCACCCCUUGCAUUGGGCAGGUUGGUCUUUGGUAAUAUCUAAUUGCUUCUAUUUCUCUCUCCUUUUCUUUCCGUGUUUUCACUCCCCCCAGCCUUUAAUCAAGCUGUUCCCUCUGCUGGAAUGCCCUUCCCGCACCAUUCUAGUGAAACGAAUGCUGCUGCUACCCAUCCUCUACUUGAUUCAGUUGGCCUUGUGGAAAUCCUUCCCACCCCACUCUAUAGGUCCUCAGACCUAGGUACUUCCCAGUGUCACACAUCAUUUGUUUAUUGCAACUGUGAUUUGGUCUUACUCAUCUUUGAACUUGUUCUUACCUCAGAAAAUGAGUAAGCUUGAAGAGGAAGAGGACCCUGUUAACAGGCCUCUACAGACUGUUUUCACCUUGGAUAGAGGUUCUUCACUUUAGGUCUGGUCUCCAGGAUCUCUGGCCAUGGCUCCCUGUGCUCUGGGGUUCACAAGCCCCAGGACCCUACAAGAGUAGUUUGGCUCUGUAGGGGAUGUUGGGAGUGGGGUGGGGUAGUGCCCACUAGGUGCCCUCACCACUCAGAGGGCCUGUCUUGUUCACCCUGACAGCUCUGACUAUCCACCUCUGUAAGAGCCUGCAAGCCCCCACAGGUGCUCCCUACAAAGCCUUAAAUUUGGCCAGCCGCGUGGUUACUGUGAUCUGCCAUGAGCAAAGGUCAGAGGGACCAGAUUUCAGCAGAGACCAACAACACAACUAUCAUCAAAGUCCAGACUCUACUGGGAGGAGACAAGCCAGCUCCCAUAUUGCCAUCUGGACCAACCUGUGGCUCCUGAUUUUUCUGCCUCAGGUGAGAACCAGAAAAAAAAGCAGAGCUUGGGGCUGGGUAGGGGGAAUAUGCCAGAGCAGGGGCUUCUAGUGCCAGGUAGCCUCUGGAUUUGAUCCAGAAUAAAAAUGACUCACAGGCUUGUAGUUUGUACUAGUUUGCAAGUGUGCACACACACAUGCGUGCUAUAACUACAGCACCAAAGUUAAGGAGUUUCAUGUGUCUCCCCAGCUCCCUCAGAGAAGAUCUCAAAGGUCUAGGAAUUGGAUUUCAGAUAAGACCCGGUUUCAGGCUUCGGCAACCACCAUCUAUGGUACCUCUUGCUUUGUUUUGUACCUAGACUGUAGCUCCCCAAGCCUUCUCUGCCGGGCUCCUGUUUAGGAUUGUGGGUAAGAGACCAGGCUCAAAGGGGUUCCUUUCCACCCCCUCUCCUACUCCUGCCUUCCGCCCCCUGCUGGCCACUGCCCUUUCCUGCUCCAAGCUGAGGGCAGUUCAGGGUGAGGAGGCGGUGCUUGCUCCUUACAGGGCUGGGAGAUCCCCAGCUGGAAACCAGUUAGCUAUUUAUAACUGAGUCUAACUGAAGGGGAAGGCCUGAGAGGAGGUGUGGAGCUUCUGCAGGCUGCUACAGCAUUUGCAAGAACCCCAGGCUUCUGCUUAGGCUGGCCUUUUGUUCUUUUCUGGGUGAGGGUACUUUGAGCCUCUGAAAGCUCUAUGAAGCUUAAGGAUCCCAGGCUGUUUUCUGACCUAAAAAAUAGGACACGUACUCCAGUUGCCCUGCACUGGGCAUUUAGGCCCUUCUCAUGGGGAGUAUUGAAAACUGGAAUUGGUAAAAUGAGACUUUUUUUUUCGGGUGGGGGUGGGAAUACCAUGUGAUGCACAAUAAGAUGGUCUCUGAUAUUUCCAUGCAUUUUUCUUAUUGUAUUCCUAUGCUUGCCUUCUCAACCAAAUUAUAUACUCUAUAGAAAUAAAGAGAGAGGAACUAAAUCUCUUGCUAAUGGUACCAACCUCUCCUUACCAAGACUGGGUUGGGUGCAACUUUUGUUUCCUAACCCUACAAAACCUUUCCAUUGCCUUUUGCUUUUGCUUGCCUGGUUUUGCUACUAUUUGGUGACUUCUUAUUGAUAUGGACUUAUCUGCCUUCUUGAUAAUCCCAUUGUGGCAUAGUAAACAAUUGUUGAAUGACUGAAUAUGAAUCAGUGAUGGCUAAUUCUGCUUGUGGAAUGCUUGAAACAUACUUAAUUGUCACAGUUUUUCUUUAGUAUCGGGGGUUGAACUCGGGGGUACUCAACCACUAAGCCACAUCCCCAGCCCUAUUUUGUAUUUUAUUUAAAGACGGAGUCUCACUGACUUGCUUAGCACCUCACUGUUGCUGAGGCUGGAUUUGAACUCGAAAUCCUCCUGCCUCAGCCUUCCGAGCCACUGGGAUUACAGGUGUGUGCCUAACCAGCUCAUUGUCACAUUUAAUCAGUGUUUUAUAGGUUGGAAAAUAAACUUGGCUGGGUGUAGUGCCAAACAUCUGUAAUCCCAGUGAUUUAGUAGAUUGAGGCAGUAGGAUCACAACUUCAAAGCCAGCAAUUUAGCAAGACCCUAAGCAAUGUAGUGAGACCCUGUCCCAAAAGAAAGAAAAUAAGCUGGCUGUGGUGGCACAUUCUUGUAAUCCCAGCAAUCUGGGAAACUGGGGCAGGAAGAUCGCAAGUUCAAGACCAGCCUCAGCAAUUUAGCAAGGCCCUAAGCAAUUUAGCGAGACUCUCUCAAAAUAAAAAAGCAAAAGGGCUGGAUCUGUGACUUAGUGCCCCUGGGUUCAAUGGCCAGUACCAUAAGAAAAAAAGAUUAGCUUUGGUCAUUAUUUUUAAGUGCCUUCACCCAGAUCUUUUUUUCUUUUCCUUUGGUGAUAGUGGGGAUUGAACCCAGGGCCUCAUGCAUUUUAGGCAAGUGCUUUACCACUGUACUACAUCCCUGAGCCUUUUUAAAAAAUUUUUUGAGACAGGGUCUCACAGAGUUGCCCUGACUGUCAUGGAACUUGUGAUCCUCUGCAUCAGCCUCCUGAGUAGCUGGUUAGAUCUUAAGUGGAGCUGUGAUAAGACCUGGUGUCCGACUUCAGAGUAGUUCUUAGGAGGAGGCUGCCUCCGUGCUGGCAUCCAGUCAGAACCUGGUACCUGUGACUGCACAGCAGCCAGGUAGGUGAGGAGGGACACAUGGGGUAUUUGGCUGGGUUCUGCUGGGAAACUGAGGCAACACAGAGACCUUCUUCAAACCCCAGUUCUUGUGAUCAAAUCAGAAAGAUUUCAGAUAUGUUGCUUAGAGUGACAGGCAUGAGUUUAUUAGAAUGGAUAGGAAUGGGGCUGACGAUAUAGCUCAGUUGGUAGAGUGUUUGCCUUGCAUGCACAGGCCCUGGGUUCAGUCCCUAGCAUCACACAAAAAACAGGGAUAGGAAUGGGGAAAAGGAGAAGGACAGUGCACUUCUCCUGCCUUCCAGUUUUUUUCCUCCACAUUUUUUAAAAUUGGUACAUUAUAGUUGUAUAUAAUGAUGGGAUUUGUUGUUACAUAUUUGUACAUGUAUAAUAUAACUAUAUAAUUUGGCUAAUAUCCUUCCCAGCACUUCUUCCCUCCCUCCCUUCUACCCCGCCUUUGUCCUUUUCCCCCAUUCUAUUAAUCUCCUUUGCUUUUCAUGCAUGGCUUCCCACCUUUCUUUUUCUUUUUUCUCUCUGGCAUCCACAAAUGAGAGAAAACAUACAAUGCUUGACCUUCUGAGUUUCUGCCCUCCAGUUUUAUUGAGGGUCCCAGGGAGGUUUCCAGAGAGUCCUGCCCAGGUGCGCUGCUUGGCUUUUUUUUUUUUUUUUUUUUUUGUAGCCAUAGAUGUGUUACCGCUGCUUGCUUCCCUGAAUGCUGAAGUAUAAUACCAGAGAAGCACGCCGAGGCAAGUUUAGAGUGGAAAGUGGAAGCUUUAUUAAAGGACAGCAGAAAAGACUUCUCUCCAGAGGAAGAAGGGGACCCAAAAGGCGGAACCCGUGGAAGGGGGAGGUCUUCCCUUUUUUAUAACUAAGGUCUUCUUUCAGCUUUCCCACACUCCUGUCCUUUGUUUCCCUUUAUCUUUCAGUGAAAGAAUGCAGGUGGGAAGGCCCCAAAAGGUGGGAGAUAGGUGGGCUGGAGGAUUAAUCUGGGCAGGAAGGGUCUGGGGUGGCUUUUGAUUAGCAUUUCCCUGUUUGCUGGGAGCUGUUUCAUUAACAGUUCCUUAGAAUGGGUUCCGGGCCUUGGGGACAUUAACAUUUCAAUUUCCACAAGUGCUGCUUUGGUUUCCUGGACUCCAUUCUCUAUAAUGGCCUCCAUUUUAUUUAUCUUACUUGGUAUUAGACCCGAUUUACCUAACUACACUAACUACCUAUCUGUAAAUCUGGCCUCUUGGUUUGUUUAAUUUUAUGUGGUGCUAAGGAUCAAACCCAGUGCCUCACUCUUGUGGACAAGUGCUCUGCCACUGAGCUACAGCCCCAGCCUGCUACCACUUGACUUUUGACUGACAGCAGGAUGACAUCAGGUUUUCAAGUCCCUACUGCCAUUACCACUCUAAGUGACUUUGGCCCAUGCUGACCCUGCUGGAACCUGUUCUUACAGAUUUUAUGGUUAGGGGGAAUUAUCCUUAUCUACCCGAGUUCCAGGUGUAAGGGUCUCUCCUUCAGUGUAAUUUGUGUUUUUUUUUUUUUUUUUGUACCAGGGAUUAAACCCAGGGGUGCUAAAACAGUGAGUCAUAUCCCCAGCCCUUUUAAUACAUGUUUAUUUUGGGACACGGUCUUGCUAAGUUACUGAGUCUGGCUUUGAACUUGUGAUUCUCCUGCCUCAGCCUCUCAAGCCACUGGAAUUAUAGGCAUGCACCACCUUGCUCAGCUAAUUUGUGUUCUUAUCGUUGGCAUUUCAUGCCUACAUUUCAUGCCUACAUUUCUUCUGCAGAUAUCAGGUGGUUUGCUGAAGAAUGUAACAUAUCCUGUUGACUCAAGCCAGGCAGUACCACAGGUAAAUUGCUUUUCAAAAGAGAAAGAAUGUGGGGGUCAGCACAGUGGGCUGGGUUUUAUAGAAUUCUUCCCUUAACCUCAUGUUCCCACCCUCAGGUCUUUCUGUCCCCUAUCAGCAUGAGCCUCUCCCUGCCAAGCUUGCCUGUCUUGCGAUUAGUGUUCCCCGGCCUGGCUCAAUGACACAGAUACUUCAGACGGCCAGGAAAGCUGCCAGGGAAUCCUCCUCCUAAGAAGCUUAUGGAGAGAAAGACCUGCUCUCAUCUGCCAGUGGGAGGAUCCUGAGGUAGCUGCUGUUGAGGCUGGAGUCAGUGGUUGGGCUGGAGGGCUGAGCGACAGGUCACUGGGAUUACUGGCAUGUGUGGCCACACAUCCACCAGGCUAACACCUCUAUUUAAACUUGAGGGAAUGGAAAGAAAAGUUACAAAACAUGUUCAAGACCACAUAAGUAUGUGUAAGAAUUAAGAUCUUACCCUGGACUGCUGGCUCCAGAAUCCAGUUGUUAAUCCUGAAGUACUUUUAAAAGUAAACAGGAAGGGUAAAAGAAAGGUGUUAGGGACAGAAAGGGGGCUGCUCCCCUCUCCAAUCAUGGAAAUGCAAACGAAGAUGUAUUUCCACCAAAAAAAAAAAAAAAAGAUACUUGAAUAGUUAAUAAGCAUAUGAAAAGAUAAUGUCAUCAGAAAAAUGAAAAUCAAAAGCAGAAUGACACCAGCCAUGAACAAUUUGAAAAAGAGAUGAAAAUAAUUUAAUUUUCAAUACUAUCCAGAAGAAUAAAAUACUAGGAAUAAAUUUAAGCAAGGACAUAAAAGAUUUAUACACUGGAAACUAUAAAAUGUUGCUAAAAUAGAUUAAAGAAGUCCUAAAUAAACAGAGAGACGUCUUAAGUUCAUGGAUUGGAAGACUUAAUAUUAUUAAGAAUGGAAAUGCUAUCUAAAACAAUCUAUAGAUUCACUGAAAUCCCUAUCAAAAUUCCAAUGGCCUUUUUUGCAGAAAUGGUAAAGCCCAUCCUUAAAUUCAUAUGGAAUUAUAAGGAGCACUAAAUAGCUAAAACAGUACUGAAAAAGAAGAACAAAUUUGGAAGGCUUGCACUUGUUUUAAAACAAUGCAGUUGGGUGUGGGGUGCACACCUCUAAUCCCAGCUACUUGGGAGGCUAAGGAAGGAAAAUUGCAAGUUUCAAGCCAAUCUCAGCAAUAUAUGAAGACUUUGAGCAAUUUAAUGAGAACUUGUCUCAAAAAAAUAAAAAGGUAAGGCAUCCCUGGGAUCAUUCCCCGGUACCAACAACAACAAAAACCAUUUACUAUAAAACUACAUAAUUCAAAAUAAUAUACUGUUAUUAAGAUUAGAUAUAGACUGAUAGAAUAGAAUUCAGAGUUUAAAAACUAUCCCACAUGUCUGUGGCCAACUGAUUUUCUUCAGUAGUGUCAGGACCAUUUAAUGGUAAAAUAAUAGUCUCAUUAACAAAUGGUGCUGUGCCAUACAUAGUGGCCCAUCCUUGUAAUCCUAGCUAUUGAGGAGGCUGAGGCAGGAUGAUCAAAAGUUUGAGGUCAGUCUGAGCAAAUUAAUGAGACCUUGUUUCAAAAUAAAAAUCUGGAGAUGUAGCUUAGUGGUAGGAUGCUUUCCUAGCAUAUGCAAAGCACUGGGUUCAAUCCCUGGGAUCACAGAACAAAAACUGGGACUGGGACAACUGGGUAUUCAUAUGCAAAAGUAUGAAGUCAGACCCACCCUCCCAUCUCACACCACAUGUAAAACAAAUAAAUGAGCUAAAAGGUAAAAUUCUUAGAAGAAAAUAUAAAAGUAAAUCUUAAUGACUUUGAAAGUUGCCAAAGGAUUCUUAGAUAUGGCAAAAGAAAGAAAAAAGAUAAAUUGGAUUUCAUCAAAACAAAGUUUUAGCAUGGUGGUACAUGCCUGUAAUCCCAGCAGCUCUGGAGGCUGAGGUAGGAGGAUGGCGGGUUCAAAGCCUGCCUCAGAAAUUUAGCCAGGCACUAAGCAACUUAGUGAGACCCUGUCUUUAAAUAAAAUAUGAAAAAGGGUUGGGGAUAUGGGAGCGCCCCUGGGUUCAAUUCUUAGUACCAAAAAAUAAACAAAUAAAAUACAAAGUUUUGGGAUUGGAAUAUAGCUUAGUGGUAGAACACUUUCCUAGUAUGUGUGAGUCCCUAAAUUAAAUCCCCAGUAGAGCACAACAAAAUAAAUAAAAAGUUUUGUGCAUCAAAGGACAUAAUCAAGAAAGUAAAACAACUUACAGAAUGGGAGAAAAUAUUUCCAAAUCAUAUAUCUGGUGAAAUUCUAGUAUCCAGAAAUAUGUAAAGAAUUCUUAUAACUCAACAGCAAAAAGACAAACCAAUUAAGAACAAGGAAAGGACUUGAACAAACAUUUCUUUAUAGACAUACAAAUGGCCAACCCACAACAAACAAAACCAUUUAUACAAAGAUUUACAUGUGAAUUUUCAUGGUGGCAUGAGAAUUCUUCCAGCUAAAAACUAGAAACCACCUAAAUAUCCACCAAUGGAAGAGAUAAAAUGUGGUAUACAUACAAUGGUAUACUACUUCUCUGCUAUUUUAUUCAUAGUUCUGACACCAGAUAUGUGGGAUUUUGUUUCUAUACCAAAUAGUUCUCCAACUCUCCAAACACUAUUUGGGUUUCCUACCAUUCAAAUAAAUUCUGACACUCAUUUACCUAGAGUUAGGGCAGACCCCAUGGCUUUAAGGAUCAGUCCCAGAAGACUGCCUCUAUUUCAGAAGACAGGCACAACUCCCGGGUUGCCAACUAUACUUUUUUUUUGGUACCCUGGAUUGAACCCAGGAGUGAAUAACCACUGAGCCAUAUCCCCAGCCCUUUUUUUUUUAUAUUUUAUUUAGAGACAGGGCCUUGCUAAGUUGCUUAGGGCCUUGCUCAGUUUUUGAGCUGGUUUUGAACAUGGGAUCCUGCCUCAGCCUCCCAAGUUGCUGGAAUAACAGCUCUGUGCCAUGGUGCCCAGUCCAGCUAUACCUCUGAUUGACUCCUGGCUCUAAAUCAUGGGUUUCCAUGACCCCCUCCUCAGGUUGGAUAAUUUGCUAGAAUAGCUCACAGAACUCAUGAAAUUUGCUUACUGGUUUAUUAUAAAGGAAUACAACUCCUGGGUGAGGAGGUGUAGGCCUGUAAUCCCAGUGACUCAGGAAGCUGAGACAGGAGAAUGGUAAAUUUAAGGCCAGCCUCAGCAAUUUAAUAAAGACUGUCUCAAAGUAAAAAAUAAGGCUGGGGCUGUAGCUCAGUGGCAGAGCGCUUGCCUAGCAUGUGUAAUGCACUGGGUUCUAUCCUUAGCACCACAUAAAAAUAAACACAUAAAAUAAAGGCAUUCUGUCCAUCUACAACUAUAAAAAUAAAAGUUAAAAAAAAAAAAAGGAGUAGGGAUGUGGCUCAAUGGUAAAGUGCCCUGGGUUCAAUCCCAAGUACCAAAAAAGCAAUAAAAUUUAGGGGCAGCCAAUUGGAAGAGAUGCAUAAGGCCAGAUAUGGAAGGAAAUGGGGGUUUAGAACUUCCACACCCUCUCUGGGUAUGACCCCUCCCAGCAUUUUAAUGUGCUCUUCAUCAACUUGGAAGCUCUGAGAACUGUCUUUAGGAGAUUUUAGGGAGGUUUUGUUUUUGUUUUGUUUUUUUUUUUUCGGUACUGGGGAUUGAACCAUUGAGAUAUAUCCUAAGCACCUUCCCUUGUUUUUUUUUUUUUUUUGUACUGGGAGUUGAACUCAGAGGUACUUUACGACUGAGCUACAUCCCCACACCUUUUUAUUUUUAUUCUGAGACAGGGCCUUGCUAAAUUGCGUGCUAACCUCGAAUUUGCUAUCGUCCUGCCUUCCCUCCUGAGUUGCUGGGAUUACAGGCUGCACUACUGCACCCAGCAUCCUAAACCCUUUCAUUUUUAAUUUUGAGACAGAGUCUCACUAAGUUGCCCAGGCUGGUGUUUUUUUUUUUUUUUUUUUUUUUUUUUUGGUACCCAGGAUUGUUCAAUCCAUCAGGGGCACUCAACCACUGAGCCUCACAUCCCCAGCCCUAUUUUGCAUUUUAUUUAAAGACAGGGUCUCACUUGCUUAACUCCUCGCCAUUGCUGAGGCUGGUUUUGAACUCCUCAGCCUUCUGAGCUGCUGGGAUUAUAGCACGCACCACCUAGUGCCCGCAGGCUGGUCUUGAACUUGCAGUUGUCCUGCUGUGACCUCCUGAGUAGCUGGGAGGUGCCACACUGUCAAGUUUUAAAAUUUCAAUAUGGUAGACACCGUGGCACAGCCUAUAAUCCCAGUGAAUCAGGAGGCUGAGGCAGGAAGAGUGCAAGUCCUGGGCCAGUUCUAACAAUUUAGGACCUUCAGCAAUGCAGCAAGACCCUGUCUCAAAAUAAAAAAUAAAAAGAAUUGAGGAUGUUGCCCUGUAGUAUAAGCACCUUGUGUUUAAUCCCCUCCUCAAAAAAGUUUCAUUAUGUAGGUGUGAUUGAUCACAUCAUUGGAUAUCAGUGAUUAAUUUAACUUCCAGCCCUGUUCCCUCUUUGGAGGUGGAAGGCUGAAAUUUCAACUCUCUGACUGUGCUUUCCAAUUAAUCUUUUUGGUGAACAGUCCCCAUUCUGAAUCUAUCUGUGCACACUCAAUCACCAGCUCUUUCAUUAACCUACAAAAGAUAAUAUAUUUAUAAUUUUAUUAUACUACCUAACAAUAAAAAUGAACAAACAUGCAAUAACAAAUGUACUUAAUCUUUAUUUUUAUUUAUUUAUAUGUGGUGCCGAGAAUUGAACCCAGUGCCUCACACGUAAAAGGCAAACACACUACCACUGAGCCACAACCCCAACCCAACAUAUGUAUUUAAAAAAAUUAUUAUUUGAGAGGAUUAGGCAGGAGGUUCACAAAUUUGAGGCCAGGCCUGGGGAUAUAUGUGGCUCAGUGAGUACAGCCCUUGCCUGACAUGCAUGAGGUUCUGGGUUCAGGUUCCCCCCCAAACUUGCCUCGCAGAAAAGAAACAAAAACACACAUUACAAGUUCAAGGCCAGCCUUAGCAAUUCAGUGAGACCCACAGCAACUUAGGAAAACCUUGUCAAAAAAUAAAGGGCUGGGGAUAUAGCACCCUGGGUUCAAUCUCUAGGGCCAAAAACAAACAGAAACAAACAAAAAACAAGUCCAAGUCCAAUUUAAGUAGCGGUAGCAGUGAGGUAUGUUUGUGGGAUAGAUGUGUUACUAGCAGUUUAGACAGGGAGCAUGCCUGGAUCUCAACUGCCUGGAUUAGACCACCUAUCCACAUAAGAAAUAGGCAAAUGAGGGACUGGGGCUGUGGCUCAGGGGUACAGUGCUUGCCUAGCACGUGUGAGGCCCUGGGUUUGAACCUCAGUACCACAUAAUAAAUAAAAUAAAGGUAUUGUGUCCAACUACAACUAAAAAUAAGUUAAGUAUUAAAAAAAAAGAAAAUAGGUAAACGGUAUACAAAGGGAAAAUUGAUUUUAUGCAGUUUGAUCAAAUUUGGCCAGCUAGGAUCCAGGCAGGUUCCCUGACUUGACUGCCACUAACAGAAGGCUGGAGGAAACAGUUUCUGAAGGUCUUUGCUCAGCUCCCCAGAGAGAAGCAGAAUUACCAUGCUACUUCGGAGUUGAAUUGGAGCAAGGAGCACAAGUAUGCAUUUUUUUUUUUUUUUUCUGACGUUGCAUAUGGAACUCGGGUCCUUGGGCAUGCUAGGCUAGUGCUGUUAUCACUGAACCACAUACCUAGUCCCAGAAUGCAACUUUACUAUGAGUAUCUUUAUGGCCGCCUCUUUAUGCAACUCCUAUCUUCUUACAGAACCCAUUGUGUAGGCCUUCCAGGUGGCUCAUCUUGUCCCCCUAGAGAGCCUAAGCUGGGGACUUAUUUAGGUCUGGAAAGCCAUUAAUAUGGGGCAGGUGUCCCGUCAUCAAGCCUUGAUUCCUCUGCAUUUUCCAGCCUACCUCUUUCCCAGGCAGCAGCAGAUCUGCAGCUUUGCCUGUAAUUUAGGAGCAUCUUGCCUCUCUAGCUUAAAACUUUCUCUGGGUUCAAUCCCUAGGACAUAGAGUGGGUUGGAGAGCCUGAGACCAGGUAAGGUAUCUUAGCAGAGUGGAAAAGGGUGCUGGGAACCUGGCAGUUGGGGAAACUUAGGUUGAGCUAUUUUAGAAACCUGGGGACUGAAGAAUCAAGUUAAUGUAUAGUCAAGCCAACCCUGACUCAGGGAAGUGACUUCAAAAUAGAUUUCAUAACCCCACCUAGAUGUUAGCCACCUUUACCCUCCCCGCACUGACUUUGGUGUUAUCCAUUCACUUGCUCCCUCUGAUCCUCCCUUUUCUAUAUCUGGAGAGAAUGGGGCUUAGAAGAGUAACAAGAUCAUCCAUCCAGAUUUGGAGUUGUAACAUCAGGUGCUCAUGUUGGCUCUGCUAAUUUGCUGAAUGGGCCAACAGGCCAUUCAUUCUGUUGCUCUCUGGACUUCAGUUUUCUUCUCUCUUCAACAAGGGGAUGAGGAUGAAGUCCAAGGCUCUUUCCAGUAUUAAAAUGACGAUUUCUUAAGGAAUAAAAGUGUUAGGGUACCACAGAGAAGAACUAUAGAAGGGUGUAGUGUAGACAGAUUCUUAAAGAGAUUCUUGUCCUUUCUGAGAAUGGGCUGUUUCCAGGUAUAGCUUUGCCUUCCCAUCACCUAGCUAAGGGUCAACCCUUGCCCAGUUAGCCCUUGUAUUUCACAGUACCCCAUCUCCCCACCCAGCUCUGGACCAACCUCAAGGCCGAUUCUAUCACCAAGGCACAUAGAACAUGAGCACCUGAUGUUACAACUCCAAAUCUGGAUGGAUGAUCUCCUUUAUUGGUCCUGCCCCUGCUCCCUUCCAGCCUUGGCCCCAACUCCCAAGUCUCAUCCUCCAGGCCCACUGGUUGACUCAUGAAGAAGCAAAUGAAAGUGUCAAGUAACUUGUGAACCAUUUACAAACCCCAAACUACACAUUGUUCUAUAAUGGGUGUUCAUUAAUGAUCCUAAACUGUUAAAGACAAUGGAAUGAUGCUGUUUUUCUUUAUUUCUGAUAUUUCAAAAAUUUCCUUAAUGGAUGUCUUAUUUUAAGCUUCUUGAUACAUUAAUAUAUAUUUCCUAAGGAAAUAAAUAAUAUAUAACCACAGAAGUUUUUAAAUUUAGGAGCUUUAACAUUGAUACUUUUUUCUAUAGUCCACGUCAGGUUUUGUUUUCAUUUUUUGGUACUGGGGAUUGGACCCAGAGACACUUAACCACUGAGCCACAGCCACAGUCAAUUAUUACUAUUUUUUCGUAUUGAGACAAGAUCUUGCUAAGUUGCUGAGGUUCUUGCUAAACUGUUGAGGCUGGCUUUGAACUUGUGAUCCUCCUGUCUCAUUGGGAUUAUAUGUGUGUGUCAUCAUGCCUGACUACAUUUCAAUUUUGUUAAUUGUCCUAUUAAUGACAUAAUUUUAAGAGCAGGGACAAGUCAGGCAGGGUAGUGCCUGCUGGUACUCCGUGCUGGCCGGGGUGCUGAAGACAGAACUGCUUGAGCCCACGAACUUGAGCCCAGCCCAGGCAAUGUAGCAGUGUAGCAAGACCUCAUCUGUUAAAAAGGUAAACAAACAAACAAACAAAAAAAAAAAAUGCAGGUGGUAGUGAUACAGUGGUACAUGCUUUUAACCCUCAGUGGUUUAGGAGACUGAGGCAGCAUGAUCAAAAAAUUGAGGGCCAGCCUGGACAACUUAGUGAGAGACUAUCUCAUAAAAAGGGCUGGGAUGUAAUCUAGUGGCAGAGCACACCUGGGUUCAAUCCCCAGUAUUGCAAAAAUAAUAAUAAAAUGAAAGGGGUUGGGAUUGUAGAUCAGGGGUAGAAUGCAUGCUUAGGAUGUAUAUGGCUCUGGGUUUGGUCCCCAGCAGCACCAGAAAUUAAUGUUUUACCCUCCCCACCCUUUUGUGGUAUUGAGGAUUGAACCCAGGAAUGCUUUAUCACAGCCACAUCCCCAGCUCUUUUUAUUUUGAGACAGGGUCUUCUAAGUUGCUUAUGGUCUCGCUAAAUUGCUGAGACUAGUCUCAAACUUGCAAUCCUGCCUCAGCUUCCCAAGUUGCUGGGUAACAGGCAUGUGCCACCACACCCAGCUUAAAACCCCUUUUUAACAACAUUUUUUAAAAAAGAAAAUUACAUAACUUUUCAACAAAUGUCAUUGACUCUAUCUAUCUAUCUAUCUAUGUAUCUGUCUAUCUAUUUUGGUGCUGGGAUUGAACCCAGGGCCUUAUGCAUGCAAGGCAAACACUCUACCAGUGAGUUAUAUCCCCAGCCCCUGACUGUAGUUAUUUUACAGAUGGAUAAUUCAAAACCCAGAUUGCAGAGUGCUAAGAAAACUGAGCAGACUCAGUGAGACUCCUAAGUGCUCCUCUCUGUUCC